rnacentral:rRNA from 1 species
CCUACGGGUGGCAGCAGUGGGGAAUAUUGGGCAAUGGUCGCAAGCCUGACCCAGCAACGCCGCGUGAAGGAAGAAGGCUUUCGGGUUGUAAACUUCUUUUCUGGGGGACGAACAAAUGACGGUACCCCAGGAAUAAGCCACGGCUAACUACGUGCCAGCAGCCGCGGUAAUACGGAGGUGGCAAGCGUUAUCCGGAUUUAUUGGGUGUAAAGGGCGUGUAGGCGGGAAUGGAAGUCAGAUGUGAAAACUCAGGGCUCAACCCUGAGCCUGCAUUUGAAACUGUGGUUCUUGAGUGCUGGAGAGGCAAUCGGAAUUCGGGGUGUAGCGGUGAAAUGCGUAGAUAUACGGAGGAACACCAGUGGCGAAGGCGGAUUGCUGGACAGUAACUGACGCUGAGGCGCGAAAGCGUGGGGAGCAAACAGGAUUAGAUACCCUAGUAGUC